ensembl:snRNA U6 U6 spliceosomal RNA
GUGCCUGCUUCGGCCGUACAUAUACUAAAAUUGGAACAUUGGUAACAGAAGAUUAGCAUGGCUCCUGCACAAAGAUGACACGCAAAUUCAUCAAGCAUUCCUUUUUUUU